AUUCCAGCUCCAAUAGCGUAUAUUUAAGUUGCUGCAGUUAAAAAGCUCGUAGUUGGAUUUCGGGCGGUUGACGACGGUCCGCCUCUGGUGUGCACUGCCGUUCAUCCGCCUUUCUGUCGGGGACGUGCUCCUAGGCUUCAUUGUCUGGGACACGGGUUCGACGUGGUUACUUUGAGUAAAUUAGAGUGUUCAAAGCAGGCAUCGCCUUGAAUAUAUUAGCAUGGAAUAGCACGAUAGGACUCUGGCCUAUUUUGCUGGUCUGUAGGACCGGAGUAAUGAUUAAGAGGGACAGUCGGGGGCAUUCGUAUUUCAUUGUCAGAGGUGAAAUUCUUGGAUUUAUGAAAGACGAACUUCUGCGAAAGCAUUUGCCAAGGAUGUUUUCAUUA
rnacentral:rRNA from 1 species